rnacentral:rRNA from 1 species
GAUGAACGCUGGCGGCGUGCCUAAUACAUGCAAGUCGAGCGAACGGACGAGAAGCUUGCUUCUCUGAUGUUAGCGGCGGACGGGUGAGUAACACGUGGAUAACCUACCUAUAAGACUGGGAUAACUUCGGGAAACCGGAGCUAAUACCGGAUGAUAUUUUGAACCGCAUGGUUCAAAAGUGAAAGACGGUCUUGCUGUCACUUAUAGAUGGAUCCGCGCUGGAUUAGCUAGUUGGUAAGGUAACGGCUUACCAAGGCAACGAUGCAUAGCCGACCUGAGAGGGUGAUCGGCCACACUGGAACUGAGACACGGUCCAGACUCCUACGGGAGGCAGCAGUAGGGAAUCUUCCGCAAUGGGCGAAAGCCUGACGGAGCAACGCCGCGUGAGUGAUGAAGGUCUUCGGAUCGUAAAACUCUGUUAUUAGGGAAGAACAUAUGUGUAAGUAACUGUGCACAUCUUGACGGUACCUAAUCAGAAAGCCACGGCUAACUACGUG